CACGCCGUAAACGAUGGAUGCUAGCCGUCGGAUAGCUUGCUAUUCGGUGGCGCAGCUAACGCAUUAAGCAUCCCGCCUGGGGAGUACGGCCGCAAGGUUAAAACUCAAAGGAAUUGACGGGGGCCCGCACAAGCGGUGGAGCAUGUGGUUUAAUUCGACGCAACGCGAAGAACCUUACCAGCUCUUGACAUUCACUGAUUGCCGGCAGAGAUGCCGGAGUUCCAGCAAUGGACAGUGGGACAGGUGC
rnacentral:rRNA from 1 species